CCAGGUCUAUAUAGCCUCUGACCUUAGCUCUCAGAAUCCCUCUUUCAGAGCCUAGGAUGGCCAGUCCAGAAGGUGGCUGGAAAGGCACCGGGGAGAAGAGCGCCCAGCUCCAAGCGAGCUGACCGUGCUCUCAGGUUCUAAGGGAGAGCAACAAGAGAAAGAAAGAGAGAGGCAAGCGAAAUUCCUGAAUGGAUAGAGAGAUGCUACGUCACCGGAGCUGCAUCCUCUGCUCCACAAGAGGCUAGGAGCCGGGGAGAGAGGCAGUCCAGCGGCUGGGGCCACCCGAGCAGUUUCUCCUCCAUAAGCCAGGAGCUGGGCAUCCAAGAAGAACCAGCCUCAUUUGUUUCUGGUGUCAUCGUAAUUGGCCACCUUUGGCUUUUGGGGAGCCCCAGGGAGUGCUGGCCAGACAUUGCAACCCGCCACUGGACAUACCGACUAAAUCCCCAAGCCCUGCUGCUUCGGACCUUCUCAAGCCCCCGAUUUUAUGGCUCCUUAGCAUUUUCAGGAGUGACUUAAAUUCAGACUUAUUUAGCUCUCUUGGCCCACAGGCCGGGGAGACUUUAAGCAGGAGGGUCUUUUGUCUGUGAGUGAUCAUCCCUCGUUGUACAAGGAUCGGGAGGAGGAAUGGUUUGGCAGCCUCCCCCGCAGACAGCGCAGGGGCCUUCAGGCCUGGAAGGAGGACGGGGCUGAGGCUGGCAUAUGGAGGGAGAGCCCAGGGCACGGGGGCAUGAGCUUCACCCAGCCGGGGCUACCUUCUGCUGGGUUUGUCCAUCUGGCACCCACUGGCUUCCCAGGGCCGCCUCCACAACCGACCAGACACCUCCUUCUGCUGUAGCCGUGGCAACUGGCUGCCAUCUUGUGCUUGGCACUGUGUUCUGGCUGCACUUUCCCACGGGAUUCCUGGAGGAAGGGAGGAAAUUCCAUGAUCUUGCUCAUUCUUGUCUUGGGAAGUCCUUUCCAAUUUCUAGUCAAGAUCUGCACGGCUGAAGCACCAGUUCUUUUAACCUUGGUUUGACAUGGCUAAUCUGAGAGACCAAAAAGAAGAACCUGCUUCACCCAGUAGGCCUGGCUUCCCUCUGAGAAGCCUUCCUGGAUUGACUGAAAGAUGAGGCUAAACUCCAGCAAGUUGACCAGCUCCUCAAGAAGCGUUUGAGCAGGCUGGAAGCGGGGAGGCCCUGGCCACCAGCCUGGGCGGCCCCUUACACCAGGACCUAGAGCUUUGCUCCGCCACGGCUCCCAUGUCCGCAAGCUGUCCAUCCAGGCCCAGCCCAGUUUCUCCUGUGUCAGCUGAGCAGAGAUUCCUCAGAGGUGGACGUCCCGUCUCAUGUCUAAUAAAGACUUCUGAACAAUGA